GAUUUUUCCUAUCUUAUGAAAUUUCAUGGGAGCCAGAGAACAUUGUCCUAUUCUGGAAGCUGAUAAUUAAGGAGUCAUUUGAUGUAUUGACACAGACUCUGCUUGACAGGCACAACCACUUUAAACUUUGAACCAAGAGCUAAUCUGGGAAAGAUGCAAGAAUAAUGGAAAGUCCUUCCUCAAGACGGAACAGUGGCAGCAAAUCAAGGGCCUUAGAACAACAUUGACAGAGAGGAUAACAUACCACCAAAGAUCCAUACCAGGAAGGCUCAAUAAGGAUCUAUAAUAAGCCAAUUGAAAAGAUCCCACUGCUCCGCUUCUGUCACUGAGUCAACACUUGCAUUUGGGUAAAUGAGGUUAACGUGUAUGUAUAUUGUUUGAUAUAGAAACUUGUUUCAAUAAAGGAUAAGUGAAUAUUAAUACA
rnacentral:lncRNA from 1 species